GGAUACUAGUUGGGUUCGUCACAGCUGAGCCACAAGGGGCAUUUCCUGUAAGGAUUCUUAACGGGAAAGGUGGCGUUACCAUUGCCUGAGGCACAGAAAAGGAAGAGUGAGGAUUCUUGGAAGGAAAGAACCUAAGGAACAGAAGUGUUUGGUUUGAUUUCACUUCCAGCAACGUCUGCCAAAAGUCUGUGACCUGCUCAGCACUGUCCCAGAGGAACGAAGAAAAGAAGGCAGUAUGACGUGUAAGACCCGGGAAUCAUGUUAGGCAUGACGGUGCCACGAAGCACACCAAAUCUAGGCCAGGAUGGGAUGGAUUGCCAAAAGGAACAGAGUGGGUCUUUUCCCAAAGAAAAGAAAGAGCAACAGGAGCUGAAGCAGCAGGGACAGAGCCUAAAUGUGCUCGCAGGGACACCGCCUGGUCAUAUGAAAGCCACAGUUCAUAGGAAAUACACAGUUAUCCUGUGGCUGAUGACGGUGAUCAUGAUGGAAGAAAAAUGUCUCAAAAACGAAAUUCUGAAAAAAUGGUGCAUCUUGGUCCCCAUCCCAAGUCAUUUAAUCAUGAGAAAUAACUGGAUUUUAGUUAAUGUAGCAUUAUAAGGACACCGGAUUCACGGAAGUGUUCUAGUCAUUCUCUUUCUUGGAUGCAUUUAGUAACUUUGAUUCUUCUGCUUUAAGAUGUUCCUUUCCAUCCACUAGCUUGUCUGGCGAUACUUACCUGACAACUAAAUGUCAAAUUGAGAGAGAGUAAUCACAGGCCAUGUCUUAUUCUUCCAGUUCAACGUGACCUUUUCUUGAUGAGGCAUUUUCUCCCCGUGUGCACCGGCAUUUGGACGCCACCUAAGUCAGGCUAUUUUGGAUUGUUCUCUUGCUGUGAGGCUUCUCAUAGGAAGGGUUUCCAUUUGAAAAGUCCGUCUUUAAAUUAACCACAUUUUCGAUGAUUUAAACAGAUUCUGCCAAACUAUCUAGACAAAGGCACAGAACCUAUGUGUAUAUGACAUGACAGAUGACAAGGGCUCCCAGAGGAUGUAAAUAUUAUUUUAGAUUCUACAUUGAUCUCUACCUUGUCUGACUUUCCAGGACUUUCCACUAGAGGCGUAGUGAACUUCCAGCAGCAGGUAUGUUAGUCUUCAUUCAACUUGGCAUUUAUGGACUUAGCAUAGAUUUGGGGUGGGGGGAGCAUUUGUGUGUGGUAGGAAGGGUGAAUGAUCUAUCAAGUUUUCUCACUGAUUUUUCAUAAAACACUUUUCAUUGUCCUUAGAGAAUAAUUGAUGUUGUGGUUUAUGGUUUUUUUUUUUAAGGCAGAUCUUAAAGUUGGUGGGAUAAUUACACUUGCACUUAUCUUUUAUGCCUAAGAAAUAAAUUGAGGAUGCUUGCGGAAUGUGCAUAUUUCCCAUUGCCUAGUUAGACUAUAGGGGAUACUAAGUUUUCUGGGCUGUGUUUUCAUUUUGCUUUUUUGCUUUGUUUUGUUUUAGGAGAAGGAGGUCAGCAGGGCACAGAAAGCCACUUCUCUAAGAUUAUUAGAAAACAAAGAAUUUAGAGAGAAAAGCUCCAGAGAGAUUUAUACAGAUCUCUUUUUAAAAAAAUAGUCUGAAGGCUUGCAGGAAAAAGAGGUCCAAGCAGGGAAAAUCAUUAGAUUAGUUUCUUAGGAAAAAUACAUGUUUGGAUGCCUCUUCAGUGUACAAUUUUAGGGUAGUUUGGUCCUGCCAUAAUCGCAAUACCACCACAUAUUUUUUAUAUAGUGAUACUCCAGUUGAGCUCAGCAAGAUUUACAGAUGUUUGCUGGUUCCUGUGGCAGACAGAGCAGCUAUUGAAUCACUUGUCCACAAAUACUUAAUAAGCCCUGUCUAGAUGCAGGACACUAUGGCCCUCCCUGUACACGAGACACUUUUAGACUAAGUCUUAAUUAGUCCUGGUUAAGCUCUGGUUAAAGAGUUAAGCACCAUCUUUACAGUGUUUAAGUACAUUGUUCAAAUAACCAGCAUACAUUUGCACAUCCAUAAUAAGUGAAACCCGAAAUAAACUUGCUAUGAUUCAAUUGAUUUGAGCCACAAUUUCAUCACAUGCAGUGCUGUGAUCCUCUCUUGGCCAGAACAGCAGUUCAGUAAAUAUCUGUUGAUGGCAGUGUGACAAUGUAGGUAUAAGAAAGAUAACUCCCCAUCCCCAAUGCCCUGCUCAACUGGUUGCAUUGUAAUGGGCUUCUUACUAUUUUCUUCUUUUUGUAAACUGUUACAUUUUGCUUUUUCUUAUAAAUAUUCUUUUUUUAAACAUUUUUUAAAAAAUUAAAGUUGAUUUUUACCAUUUUCUUCUAAUAAACUCUCAGUAGCUAGCAAAUGAAAUGGGCCCAAACUCUGACCCCCAAAUCCAUGUUUGUAGUUUGGACCAGAUUGACUCUCACUCUUUAUAUGUGGAGCACAGAAUAAUUAAAUAGCAGAACCCAGGGAGACAAGAAGCAGGCGAUUUUAUCCACAGCUGCCCCUGAAGGGUGCUAGGUGGGUUAGGGUUUAUCGCACAAGACAGGAAGCAUCCUGAGAGAAGGAAGGGCGGGAACUUGCACUGAGUGCUGUGUCAGGCACCACACUAGCUGCUGACAUAAACCAUUCUUGGCCAUCGCAGCAAUCAUGAGCCACAGGCAUUUCGAGGUAGGAAGGAUGAAUCUCAGAAAUAGGUAAAUUGCCUGGAAGUCUCACAGCGCAUGCGUGGGAGAUCCUGGCCCGCAGGUCAGACCAGGGUGCUUGGGAGACCCUGCCUUUUCCAGGGUGCUCAGCUGUGUCCAUCCCACCUUCCGUGCUGAGGCGAAGCCCACAGGGCAAGGUAGCCAUUCGAGUCCUGCUUGCGAGAUACUAAGAAUAAGGCUCAGGCCACCUCAGGUGAUGAAGAAUGUGCUGUAUCUAGUCCUUUAGAAAGGAGCAGACAGUGGUCUUAGCCUUAUGGUCGAGUCUCAGAGAACCCAGGAAAAGCAGGACACUCCAGCUUUAGGAAGGGUAGAGCCUGUCAGAGCCAGGCUCAAGGAACCUGGAAAUGGGAAACUCAUCAAGAUGCCAAGAGCGUUCUGAGAGCUCAGGUGGCGGAGCUUCUGGGUCUUCUGGAACAUACUCUGCUUAGUCUCUGCAGGUCAGAAGCCCAGAAGUAUGAAACCAAGGUGUCAGCAGAUGCGGUGGAGGCAUGAAAGGAACAGCUAUUCCAUGUCUCUCCCAAGGCUUCUGGUGGUUGCGGGCAACCCUCCACCUGUCUGAGUUUGCAGACGUCUUGCUCCAAUCUCUGCCUCUGUUCACACUUUGCAUCUUCCCUGAGUGUCCCUGUUGUUCACGUGGCCUUCCUAUCAGAACACCAGUCAUUGGAUUUAGAACCCAUCCUAAUCUGAGUUCUCCAAGGCUUUGCUUCGUGUCCUUUGAAGCUCUGUUGUGAGAUUCAUAUCCAUCGAAGAUCAUUGUAUCUCUUGCCUUUGCUGUGCUGUUCAGAUACGUCCUGCAGAUGCACCAAGUAGCAGCUGGACAGAGGUCUGUCCCUUAGUUCAGUUCUCAAAGUCUCUGGUGGUGUUUAGGAUUGGAUGCAUGUUCAGAGGGCCGUGCUAGGAGUGGAAAAUCGGAGCUGCAGAUGCUGGCCUACACCACAGCCACAGCAAGGGCAGAUCCAAGCGGCAUUUGCAUCCUGCACUGCACCUCAGGGCAAUGCAGGAUCCUUAACCCACUGAUCGAGGCCAGGGAUAGAACCUGCAACCUCAUGGAUACUGGCUGGGUUCCUUCCCACUGAGCCACAACAGGGAACUCUUCUACUUGAUUUUCUUCAUAGAAUUUACUUGAUUUAUUGUAUGUGUUCAAUGUUUUAUUCAACAUUUAAUAUUAUUAUAAAAUUUGUCUCAGAGUCUUAAUUCUAGGAACAAUAUUAUGAAUAUAUACACUCAUUUGAAAAAGAAAGACUCUAGCUCUUAUUCCAGAGCCAAGUACUCCACAGGAUCUGUCCAGGGUACCACAUUCUAACCAUUUUUUUUUUUUUUUAGGUCUGCACUUGUGGUAU